AUUGGAAGCAUUUGUUGUUCUACCAAGGCUUUGACUGGGAUAUUAUAUUUGAGAGACAUGCACAGACUCAUUGAUGACCAUACUGGCCUUAUGUCACAUGGAGCCAAUAAAGUCCCUUGGAACUGUUGGCCUGAUCCUUGCUUACGGAGGUCCUACCAGCUUUACCUAGCCAGUAAAAUAUGUCACUUCCUGGCAGGUGCAGGAACUUCAGGAGUUUUUGGGACCUUGAGAAAAGGAAUUUGCCCAAACCUACAGUGUUUCCCUGCCUGAUGCCAAAACUCCUUCUCUGCUGACAGAUUGAAUCCCACUGGCAGAUGAUCCUUUCUACUCCAGGAGGUUCAUAGAUAUGCUGUCCACGUUGUAUUCAGCUGGAGAUCUGAUGAUGCUCUGCCUUUCAUAACCCGCUUAUACGUUCCCCAACUGACCAGUGAUGACCCACAAGCCCCCUGCUCUGCAGGAAGAAGCUACAGAAGAUGAGACCUUCCACCUUCAACAAUCUUUAAGAUUUAAGGGUCAAAUUGUUCAGGGGACAUGAUGAAGGAGCAUAAGGCAAGCAGACAGCAAAGCAGGAGCUGACACCGCCCUCCUCCCCAUCAGCAGUACUUCAAGAUCAACCUGACUUGCUCCCGUGGAUGAGGAAACAGAAGGCUGCCUGAAGACAAAGCAGAAGUUGAUACUUUAACCACCGGUCCCCACAACACACACUCCAGGGUGGGCCCUGGGUGACUUUCUUCCCUGAAUCUACAACUCUGCUAAUGUUAAUGCCUUGCUAGAGGGAAAAACACAACCUUAACUUGAUAAUGGCAAGACCUCUGGCAUCUUGUAGGUCUUCCUUAGCAUAUGAAAGUUCUUUUGAAACUUCCCUUUUCUUUACCUCCUCUGACCCCAUAGUAUACGAUCAGUCACCCCUCACAACCCCAGGGCAGCAGCUCUUCCUGCCCAGGGAUCCUGUCCCAGAGCUUUAAUAAACAACC